rnacentral:misc_RNA from 1 species
CAUUCAGUAGCUUGCUACUGUUAGGGGGGUCCAUUAGUCUGUAUAGUAUCACUACUGAUGAGCAGCACGACUCCCUGUCUAUACCCUUGUCUUUUGCGCACUCAUGUUUCCUCGGCGGCUUGAUACCCGCCGGCUGGAUCAAUCUAUGACCUUUUUAAUUUUCAAUCAGCGUCUGAAAAACCUAAUAAUUA